rnacentral:rRNA from 1 species
UACGUAGGUGGCAAGCGUUUGUCCGGAAUUAUUGGGCGUAAAGCGCGCGCAGGCGGUUCCUUAAGUCUGAUGUGAAAGCCCACGGCUCAACCGUGGAGGGUCAUUGGAAACUGGGGAACUUGAGUGCAGAAGAGGAAAGUGGAAUUCCAAGUGUAGCGGUGAAAUGCGUAGAGAUUUGGAGGAACACCAGUGGCGAAGGCGACUUUCUGGUCUGUAACUGACGCUGAGGCGCGAAAGCGUGGGGAGCAAACAGG